CAGGGUAUAGCUCAGUGGUAGAGUACAUGACUAACAUGCAGGAGGUCCUGGGUUCAAUCCCCGGUAUCUAAA
rnacentral:tRNA from 1 species